ACUAUGGAGAGUUUGAUCCUGGCUCAGGAUGAACGCUAGCGGCAGGCUUAAUACAUGCAAGUCGAGGGGUAACGAUCCCUAGCAAUAGGGAGUCGACGACCGGCGCACGGGUGAGUAACGCGUAUGCAACCUACCUCUAACUGGGGAAUAGCUCCGAGAAAUCGGGAUUAAUACCCCAUAGUACUUCGGAAUCGCAUGGUUCUGAUUUUAAAGCUCCGGCGGUUAGAGAUGGGCAUGCGUGACAUUAGCUAGUUGGUGAGGUAACGGCUCACCAAGGCUACGAUGUCUAGGGGGUCUGAGAGGAUGAUCCCCCACACUGGUACUGAGACACGGACCAGACUCCUACGGGAGGCAGCAGUAAGGAAUAUUGGGCAAUGGAGGCAACUCUGACCCAGCCAUGCCGCGUGCAGGAUGACAGCGCUAGUUCGUUGUAAACUGCUUUUAUACGGGAAGAAACUUUUGCACGUGUGCGAAACUGACGGUACCGUAUGAAUAAGGAUCGGCUAACUCCGUGCCAGCAGCCGCGGUAAAAAGGAGGAUCCAAGCGUUAUCCGGAUUCAUUGGGUUUAAAGGGUGCGUAGGCGG
rnacentral:rRNA from 1 species